AGUCUCUUUCUAACCCUGGAACUCAUUCGCUUGUAUGAUGACUAACUAGUGAGCAGCAGGGGUCUGCCUGUGUCCACACCCUAACCCGCAGCACCAGGGUCACAGUGGAUGGGCCUGUACUCAGAUGCUCUCCGUGAUCCAAAUAGAGCAAAAGUUGCAAAGUGCUGGGCUCCCCAGAUCUGAGUUUCCAAUGCUUGUUUGGAGAGCACGAAGGGUAACCCAAGUUCUUCCUACCUUCAAUGCCGUCACCAUUGAAGUCUCCCACGGCCACAGAGUAACCUAGACAGGAAUGAAAGGCAUGGAAUGAAAGCACAGAGUUUCUCAGAAAGCCUCCUACGGAAAAUCAGAGUGAAAGAAGUAAAAUUCAAAGUUAAAAAGAUUUUCAACUAGAUACAGUCAUGUCCUUUCUAGUGCUUCCAAACAAAGACCCAUCUUAGACUGGGCUGCUAAGAAAGGGGAGUUAUGACCUUAUGAACAGCUUUCUCUAACAGAAACUAAACAAGUGGCAUAUUAACUACAUAAAUGUGUAUCUCACUAAACAAACUGAGACACUUUCCAUUUUAGUCUGGAUACAUUGUAUACGGUGUCUUAUAUACAUUUUAUCUACUGCAUGAUUUCUCUUUUUUUCACUCCCUCCCUCAAAAUGUCAGCCAUGAGAUGGUUAAUAUAGUAAGACUUUUCUAGAAUGGAUGGAUAGUGUUUUACUUUUAUCAACCACCAAUUUAAUUACUUCUUAAAAGUUAAGUUGGGUUUUUAUGUGUCUGUUUUGAACUCUUAGAGAUCUGCCAAACUCUGCCUCGUGAGUGCUGGGAUUAAAGAUGUGUACCACUAUGUCCAGUUAAGAUCUUCUAACUUUAAAGUCCUCUUGAGGGCAGGGAUGGGGAAGAUUAAAGCAAUCAUUUGGGUAUGCUAAUGAGCAAUUUAAAACAUCUAGCUAUCAGAAGGCUAUACUUGCUAAUGUAUAUGUCAUGGCCUCUGGAGUAUAAAAAUAAAAUAUAUGGUCUGGAGAGAUGGCUCAGUGGUUAAAAGCACUGACUGCUCUUCCAGAGGUCCUGAGUUCAAAGCCCAACAACCAGAUGGUGGCUCACAACAAUGUAUAAUGGAAUCUGAUGCUCUCUCCUGGUGUGUCAAAAGACAGCUACAGUGUACUCAUAUAAAUAAAAUAAGUAAAUAUUUAAAAAAAUAAAUAAAAUAAAAUACAAACCACUUACCAAAAGAAGAAAAACAAAACUAACAACCUUUUUUUUAAAAAAUAAUUGUACAUUUACUUUAAAUUUACCUUUAAAACUGUUGUUUUCUACCUGAAAUAUAUGCACAUUUAAUAUACACCAUAGAAAACACAUCAAAUUAGUUCCUAAAAAUAUUGUAUACCAGAUUAUUUAUGUACUUAAAUUACAUUUUCUAUUUCAUUUUUAAUUUGAAAUAUGUCAUGGGCAUGUGAGUAGCCAAGUAUCCAGUUGAAAAAUAUGAACUUACCCUGCCAAUAAAAGCUGCCGGGACCUCCAAGAAGUACUCUGUCGGCCUAGAGCAAAUCACAGAACAGAAGGACGAUGCUUACAAUGAGCAUGGACACCGCAACCAGUGCUCUAAGCAGUACAGGUAUUCGUGCACAGACAUAGUACAAUCAAAUCACAAGCUGUUGCCUCAGCUAGCUCGGUUUCAGUACAAUGCAGCAACUCUUCUAAGAGGAAGUAAGAAGGAUUUUAACACCUUCAUUUAACAUGGAAAACAUUUAAGUACUGGUGGAAAUAUUAUUUGGUUGCAAUAAGACAAAGGUGGCUAACCUCCUGUAGUAGAUUUACAACUACUUAAGAUAAAUUUUCUAAUGAUCACUAAGAAAUGUUCU